UACGUAGGGUGCGAGCGUUAAUCGGAAUUACUGGGCGUAAAGCGUGCGCAGGCGGUAAUGUAAGACAGAUGUGAAAUCCCCGGGCUUAACCUGGGACCUGCAUUUGUGACUGCAUUGCUGGAGUGCGGCAGAGGGGGAUGGAAUUCCGCGUGUAGCAGUGAAAUGCGUAGAUAUGCGGAGGAACACCGAUGGCGAAGGCAAUCCCCUGGGCCUGCACUGACGCUCAUGCACGAAAGCGUGGGGAGCAAACAAGG
rnacentral:rRNA from 1 species